GACGAACGCUGGCGGCGUGCUUAACACAUGCAAGUCGAACGGCAACGCCCUGCUUGUGUGGGCUGCUCGAGUGGCGAACGGGUGUGUAACACGUGAGUAACCUGCCCUGGACUUUGGGAUAACUUCAGGAAACUGGGGCUAAUACCGGAUAGGAGCUCCUGCUGCAUGGGGGGGGUUGGAAAGUUUCGGCGGUUGGGGAUGGACUCGCGGGUUAUCAGCUUGUUGGUGGGGUAGUGGCUUACCAAGGCUUUGACGGGUAGCCGGCCUGAGAGGGUGACCGGCCACAUUGGGACUGAGAUACGGCGCAGACUCCUACGGGAGGCAGCAGUGGGGAAUAUUGCACAAUGGGCGGAAGCCUGAUGCAGCAACGCCGCGUGCGGGAUGACGGCCUUCGGGUUGUAAACCGCUUUCGCCUGUGACGAAGCGUGAGUGACGGUAAUGGGUAAAGAAGCACCGGCUAACUACGUG
rnacentral:rRNA from 1 species